rnacentral:rRNA from 1 species
UACGAAGGGGGCUAGCGUUGUUCGGAUUUACUGGGCGUAAAGCGCACGUAGGCGGAUUGUUAAGUCAGGGGUGAAAUCCCGGAGCUCAACUCCGGAACUGCCUUUGAUACUGGCAAUCUUGAGACUGGAAGAGGUUAGUGGAAUUCCCAGUGUAGAGGUGAAAUUCGUAGAUAUUGGGAAGAACACCAGUGGCGAAGGCGGCUAACUGGUCCAGUACUGGACGCUGAGGUGCGAAAGCGUGGGGAGCAAACAGG